GCAGGAGAAUUGUCCUUUGGAGUCCCACAGACAAACCAAAUAUCUCUGCUGUGUUCUAUCUUUGGAAUAAGUCUGCUUGUGACAGCCAUCCUCAUUGCAAUCAUGGAGAAAGUGAAUUGUACCUCCUGCAGUGAUGCUCUGUGUCAAAGAAAUUUAAAGACAGAACAGAAUACAGGGAUUUACUCCCGUGUCAUCUUUACCAAGGUAAAAUCUGGCAGUGGUGGGAGAAAAGAAGCACAACCAGUGGAGAGGGAGCUGGCCGACACUGAUCUCAAGACUUUUGGACUGGAGUAGCAAGUCAGCACCUAAACUAUUUGUCAUCUGCUUUUACUGUUUACGUUGCUGUUGUGAUUUUACCUUUUGGUUUGUGAUGUCCCAUUUGGAAGACUUGAGUUAGAGAAGGGUCUGGGUGCAGUAUGUGGGGAACUGGAGGUCCAGUGCAGACCAGAAACAUAUGACCUCCACUUGAGCCCCCUGAGUGCCCUGACAACAUCCUAAAAGUUGAGAGUGGAGUUCAGAGGGGUAUUCCAGGAAGCGGGUUUAGUUAAAAGUCUGAGUUUGUUAAGCCUGAGAU